UACCCUUCCACCCCCAGAUGUUGGAAUCCUGCUCCAAGAUCACUAUUUUUACUAGAGGGACCAUAAGAGAAACAUUUUGCUUACAAAGUUUGUUGAUACCAGUGUUAUGUCACGGUUUGCCACCACUGGCACUUGUUUCAGCCACUCCUGGGCCCUGGAAGACCCCAAUUCAGAACUGCAGUGACUACAAUCCCCAGAUACCUGAGGCUCACCUCAGUAUGACUUGCUCUUUAAGAAACUGGAUUACCUAGAACUAAGAAUAAUAUCUGAAGGUAGAGUUUCUUUACCUCAAGAAAAGCAUCAAAAACUCAGUUGAAUUACCCCAUCCAUUAACUAUAGGAAAAAAGAAAAGGUACCUCUGGACAAGAUCAAGCAGACAUGACAAAUGCCUCUGACUUCUUUUUAAAUUGAACCUGGAAGGUCAUCACUGAACAAACAAAAUGCUAUACAACCAGGGCCAUAAAUUGUGAGAGCUAACAAAAAGGUAAGGUUUUCUGAUAUUAAAAAUUAAAAUUAUUCUGUUCAGGCUAAUUUCUGUUUUUUUUUUUUCAUUUUCUGUAUAAAAUGAAGAAAUAAAAAAAGAUAAGUAAAAAAAAAGGUAAGUAGCUAAAGAAAUCCUUACAAACUUCAUUAUUACACUUCUUUCAAGCUGAACCUGUAUUUUACUGCAAUGACUUUAGAGUAGUUGGUUUCUCUUACAAAUAUGUUCUUAAAGGUAUUCCCUAAUUAGGAUUUACCCAUGUUUGUUAUGUUUUUUUUUCAGCAUUAUGAUAGAACUGUGGACAGUCUAAAAAAACCCACAAACCAUCUCGAAUCUAUGUGAUUUCCUUCCUGUUAUUCUCAAAUCAAACCAGUAAAAGCAUAACACACUACUGUGCAUUUUUCCUAACAUUUUUAUUUUGUGUUAGGAUUAUUUAACAGUACUGGUAGUUUUAGAUUAAAUUUAAUUCAUAGGGAGAUAAACAGUAACUUAGGUGACUGGAACUGGAAACCAGUUGAUGGAUCUCAUGUUUAAUUCUCCUAUUUCAGUUUGAAGAGGAAAUGUAAGGAUUGAAUUAGAAAGCUGCAAACUCUUGAUAAGAAUUAGUGGUAUAAAACAAAAUAAAAUGAAACCUUCAGUUAUUUUCCUUACAGUUAGACUGUAUGAAAUUGUAAAUCAGCAACAGAUUUGGAUAGCACUCAAAUCAACAGCUUUACCUAAUAAAAGCUCUAACAGAGCACUAAGCAUACCAUUUGAAACAAAUAUGAAAUAAAUAUGAAAUAUGAAUGACUUUGAAAAGAACCAUGUGAGAAACAAAACUGUAAAAUCACCAAAAUUCAAGAAGAGGAAAUUUGAACUGAAAUGUAUGAUGGUCAAUUAAGUACCUAUUUUGACAAUUCUAAGUGGUCAAGUUUUUAAAGUAUGACACAGAAAUCUUAACCUAUCUAUAUAUGAGUGAUAAAUGAGGCAUUUUGUGUCAUUACAUUCCCAUAAAUCACUUUCUUUAACUGCUGAUGGCUUUUAUCAGGUCUAACCUUUUCAAGCUUCUAUCAGAGUGCUAACAUUUUCAACUUUGACACAUACGCAGUUUACAAAUUCUGCAGCUGAUUAACUCUGGACAGAAGCUCACUGCCAUCAUUGUCUUCUUCAAGUUGGGUUACAGCUUCAGUGUCUCAAAAACUCACAUGCAUCCUUCAUAUGCCAGAAAAUCUCAAUUUACUGGGCUUUGUUGGAAAGGAUGUGAGGUAUUUCUCCUUUUGAAACAAAUACAUGAGAAUAUACUUUCGAAAUUACUCUUCUACAGAGAGCCUGAAAUAUGGGUACCUUUCACUACUUUAAAAUCAA